GAUGAACGCUGGCGGCGUGCCUAAUACAUGCAAGUCGAGCGAACAGACGAGGAGCUUGCUCCUUUGACGUUAGCGGCGGACGGGUGGGUAACACGUGGGUAACCUACCUAUAAGACUGGGAUAACUUCGGGAAACCGGAGCUAAUACCGGAUAAUAUUUCGAACCGCAUGGUUCGAUAGUGAAAGAUGGCUUUGCUAUCACUUAUAGAUGGACCUGCGCCGUAUUAGCUAGUUGGUAAGGUAACGGCUUACCAAGGCAACGAUACGUAGCCGACCUGAGAGGGUGAUCGGCCACACUGGAACUGAGACACGGUCCAGACUCCUACGGGAGGCGGCAGUAGGGAAUCUUCCGCAAUGGGCGAAAGCCUGACGGAGCAACGCCGCGUGAGUGAUGAAGGUCUUCGGAUCGUAAAACUCUGUUAUUAGGGAAGAACAAACGUGUAAGUAACUGUGCACGUCUUGACGGUACCUAAUCAGAAAGCCACGGCUAACUACGUG
rnacentral:rRNA from 1 species